rnacentral:rRNA from 1 species
UACGAAGGGGGCUAGCGUUGCUCGGAAUCACUGGGCGUAAAGCGCACGUAGGCGGACUCUUAAGUCGGUGGUGAAAUCCUGGAGCUCAACUCCAGAACUGCCUUCGAUACUGGGAGUCUCGAGUCCGGGAGAGGUGAGUGGAACUGCGAGUGUAGAGGUGAAAUUCGUAGAUAUUCGCAAGAACACCAGUGGCGAAGGCGGCUCACUGGCCCGGUACUGACGCUGAGGCGCGAUAGCGUAGGGAGCAAACAGG